UGUUGUUAUUAUGUAGAGAAGUCUUGCAACAUUCUUGAUCUAUAACCAUGCUGGCUAUCUAAAUGCAGGUUGUGAUGAUUAGAGAGAAGCUUGCAGAACUGUAUGAAUUUGAACAAUAAUGGUCGAGAGCAGCACAAAUGCUUAGUGGCAUUGACUUACACUCAGGAACUAGGUAAAAGCCAUCUUUUGUCUCUCUUUACAUGUUAUUGGAUUUUCUAAGUCUGGGAAAUCUGACCAUCAUCUUGAAAACCAUGAUGCUUGAUGACACAAACAAAUUAUCCAAGUGUGUCCUGAUUGCACGACUCUAUUUGGAGGAUGAUGAUGCAGUGAAUGCUGAAGCUUUUAUCAACAAAGCCUCGAUUUUGGUCACAAACACAACAACCAGAAAGUUCUGAACUUACAAUACAAGGUCUACUAUGUGAGAAUUUUAGAUCUAAAGGGUGAAUUCUUGGAAGCUACACUUCGAUACUAUGGUAUCUCUCAAAUGAGCAACGCCAAAUUGGGGAUGAGUAAGGCUUACUCCAUUCAGUUGUAGAUUUGUUUCUCCCUUCUACAAUUUACUCCUUUUUAAUGUUCUGUCUUGUUUGGUUCUUUGUUGCCUUGCCGGUGUGGUGGUGCCUAAUUUCUUUUUUACACACUUCAAAUAUUUCAAUGUUUUGCUUACUGUAUGUAGUAAAUUACCCUACUUGAUACUAAUGUUUAAGUACUGCAGUGGUUAUUAGCAAGUCGUAUUUGGAACUGAUAUGGCCUCCAUAUUUUAUUCUCAAAGAUCUUGACGGAACAUCGUUUCUGUAUUUUCUCAAAUAGAUUGAUGAAAAUGCUCUUGAGCAAGCUCUUAGUGCUGCUGUAACAUGCACAAUAUUGUAACUAUUGAGAGGCAACCACUCUUGCCAACUUGAAAUCAGUUUACUCAUUCAAGUUGUGGAAUUUCUAUAUAGCAUUUUGAGUUUACUUCGGUCGUGCAUUAGGUUUCUCUGUGUGCCCCUAUUCUUGUGUGCAAGCGCUCCAUUCUCUCUGUGUGUGUGUGUGUGUGUGUGUGUGUGUGACUUGAUGGUGAAUAUGUGUGUGGCUUG